AACACUAAAUGGUCCCUAGUGUGUGAAUGUGAGUGUGAAUGUUGUCUGUCUAUCUGUGUUGGCCCUGUGAUGAGGUGGUGACUUGUCCAGGGUGUACCCCGCUGAGAUAGGCUCCAGCACCCCCGUGACCCCGAACUGGACAAGCGGUAAAAAUGGAUGGAUGGAUCAUUCGAAUCAACAUUUCACAUCAUUUCCAAGCAGUCAUGUGCACUCGACUACUCGUUUGUCAUGUUUCUAUCAUGUGAAGAAGUCCGAGAAGAGUUUUUCUAAAGAGCUGACUGAGCGUUUGUUCUGGAGUGGAUAAUGGUCAGAGGUAGAACAUUCCAGGGCGAGGUAACGCUGCGUAUAAAAGGAUGCUGGCUGCCGUCCUCAGCAUCAAACCUCCUCACUGCAAAGAUGGCUUUUUCUCUUGGCGUCUUCUUCCUCCUGUGUGGCAUCAGUGGAGUGUUUGGUAUCUGUCCUUCUGAUUGGACUGAGUAUGAGAGUAGAUGUUACAUAUACGUAGUCAAUCCCAAUAACUUUGACGCUGCAGAGGUAG